rnacentral:lncRNA from 13 species
AUGGAUGGCCGACCGACUGCCUGGUUGGUUAUUUGGGUAGCUGUUUCCUCGCAGAGGGUUUGGAAGGUGCUCAUUUUCAGUCUGAUGUGCAUUUUGAAGUCAUCAAUCGCACAGAAAGAUUAUCUGCAUUGGACCUCUGCAACCACCUCUCCUAACCUAGUGGAAGGCUCCGGUGUUUUCUUUAAGCCGGCACCAACCUUUUUAAACCCCGGAAGGAGGCAGAGAGAGGAAGAUGGUCAAGGUAAUUGGGACACAAACCAGGUUUCCAUCCAACCUUUUUGUGCGAGUAAAGUACAUGUCACGACAGGCCUGAUGGAAACAGCUAAUUUGUCUGUAAACUUACCAAAUGUUGACAAAACAAAAUACGCCAGACAAGGUGGGAUCUUUUUGUCUUUAAAAUUCAUUAUCGAACCAAACUAUGUUGUGUGGUCCUCGCACUACGACUCGGGGAAAGCAUGCAGUUUAUUAGGCUAGAGAUGAAACAUGUUUUCAUGAACUUCACAGGGUGGCGAAAGUGCAAAGUAAUGAGCUUGAUACUCAUUUCCAAUAAAUAUCGAGGGUCUUAUUCUGGUGAAAUGAUGAUCGAUGCUUGGCUGCCGUUUGACAAAUAAAAAAUACUUGCUCUUUUCACCAAAAUAAUCUCAUGUAGUCUAUACCCGCACUGUGUCUGCGAGCUGUUGACUGUAGACCACGUGCCAAUUUGAGUGGGCACAUUCACUGUAUAAA